AUGAUCCUAAAGAUGGUUACUGCAUCAACAAUAUGUUCAACAUCUUCAAAUGCUUGCAGAGAGACUGCUCAUUUUAGCACGACGCUGAGUUAUGUCAAUUCACAAGAUAACAUGAUCAAUGGUAGAACAGUUGUAAACCUAGCGGUGAGCUGUAGCACAUAUCCCCAAACAAGGACACGCGUCUUGAAUCUUGAAAGAAGAUGUUUCUGCAUCGCCCUGCGCAAAAUUCAGUCAUUCAUCACAACCCUUAGCUUGCCUCUUGUUAGCGAUUCACACUGUUCUUUUAGCUCAGUACUGCAAUCGUAUAUCACUAGCCUUUCCAGCGAAGAUGGGAGGCCCUUCUUAGGCAGCCUUGGGAUGUCAUCACAACAAACGAUACUCAAUGCCUUGAGGGAAGGAAGGCUGUGCAGUCUCACAGGAAGAUGUACGAGGUUGAAACAAUCAAGAAAUUCAAGGUUUUGCAGGGACCUGAGGAGCAGUAGCGCUCUCUCUUGCUCAUCUGUUAGUCUUGUCCCUCCCUGUUCCAGCUUCUCAAGUCGUAGGCAUUGGAGGCAAGUGAGGCCAUUGCACAGUGACAUGGUAAGGAGAGACAAGUCAUCAAUGUGA
rnacentral:rRNA from 1 species